AUCUUUGCACUUCUCGUUUUAUACUUGGCGAGGUCGUACGAGACUUUCACGGCUUUGACUCCUGCCCUCAUGCAGCUGGGAUGGCCACUGGCAACCUCAGUGCUUGGACCGAGCUGGAGCUGCAGUUCCAGGAAUGUGGCCUGACCCAGUCCCCUGUGAUGGAGCUGGGAUUGCUCCAACUCCUCAGUGGAGCUUCACUGACUUGCAGUGACCAGUGCCUGGCCAUCUCCUUCCUGCCUUUGAUUUUGGUUUGUUCACAGACCAUGGUGGAACCAAGGAGGGACGUCAACCUCAAGAUACACUUGGCAAGCUGACAUGGCCAGAGCUACUGGAAAAACACCAGCACAGACAGCCAUUUCCCCAUGAUCCCCAGAUAUUUACAACCUUCCAGUUCUACUGAGCAGGUUGCUUUGCAAUUGACAACAGAAAGAAAGGUGGCUUCAAGACAGAGAGAUUCCUACGCACCAGAGAUUAUUCCACAGACCAGAGGCACCUCUCCAUUUAAUGCAGCCCAACAGAAGUGGAUACCAAGGAAGCCAAGCCUAGCACAGACAGAGCAAAAGAGAGAGGCCAUGGUCUUCAGGCUGACAAGGGCUGCAGAAGCUUGCAAUCAUCUCAAAACCUGAGACUGCUAUCAGGAGCUGAGGCUCUUCAAGUAAAUUCCAUGAAGGGACCUGGAACUCCAGCAUGCAGAGCCAGGACUGGCAGCAGCGGGGAGAGCUCAGUCAUACACCACUCAUCAGCUCUAAGCUGAGGGAAUCACCACGAGGGAAAGAGGAGAGGCAAAGGAAAUAAAUCAUCUGAUAUCCUGUCAGCAAACUGCCAUCAGUGCUUUGAGACUGGAGGCGUUUCUCCUACCCCAGAAGAGCAUUGAAAAAAAAAAGUCUAGCUGAUAACUUGGACAGGGUUCAGGGAAGAAGUUUGGCAGGCGAGUUGCUCUUGGAAUGCACUCAGUAAACCAUGGACAGGAGAACCAAGGAGCAUAAAUAGAAGUAGCCAUAGGUGUAGCAGCUGGGAGCCUGACUUCUGGCUUCUAUUCCGAGCUCUACUCAUGACUCACUUGACAACCUUGGAAAGCCACUUCACCUCUCCCUGCUCCAGCAUUCUCACAGGCACAGCUCACCCAUUUCACAGGUACCCCAGGCAGAGGAACCCCACUGCUUCCAGCUGGGUAAGCAAUUCUGGAGGAAGGACCUCAUCCCUCUUCCUCUGUUAGCCCCAGGCCAUUCAGCCCCACAGGUCAGGGCACCUGGAGGGGAACUGGCAACUUGAACCAAGUGCAUCUCGUGAAGCUUUUUGGGAUCCAUCAAGGAAAGGAAAAGCACUUUAACAAGAUGUUGCUAAUUAUAGCUUGACAGCACAUAACACAUUCCUGCUCUGGACAGAGCUCUGCUAUCAGCCAACUCAAUUAUACAUUAUCUUUGCCCAAUUCCCUCCUUAUUAAUUGUGACCAAAGCACUGAAUAAAGCCAAAUUUCUGCU
rnacentral:lncRNA from 7 species